rnacentral:rRNA from 1 species
GACGUAGGGCGCGAGCGUUGUCCGGAUUUAUUGGGCGUAAAGAGCUCGUAGGCGGCUUGUCGCGUCGAAUGUGAAAUCCUGCGGCUCAACUGCAGGCUUGCAUUCGAUACGGGCAGGCUCGAGUUCGGUAGGGGAGACUGGAAUUCCUGGUGUAGCGGUGAAAUGCGCAGAUAUCAGGAGGAACACCGGUGGCGAAGGCGGGUCUCUGGGCCGAUACUGACGCUGAGGCGCGAAAGCGUGGGGAGCAAACAGG